rnacentral:tRNA from 1 species
GGUAGAGUGGUAUAGUGGUAAGAACACUGGAUUUAGAAUCAGAACUUUUAGAUUCAAAUCCUGAAUCUUCUA